AAUCACUGUGUGGCAGAGCCUCCAUUUGCAUUCCUUUUGUGAGGAGCAGAGGAACCAGGUGAAGAGAUGCUAGAUGAGACAAACAGGUCAGUGUGGUACCCACCUGGCUUCUCGGCGUUCCUUCAUCAGUAGACAUUGAUAAGAGGCGAGACAAGGAAUUCAAGGAAGGCUUUACUGGGGCUGCAGCAGGAGCGGAAACAAGCAACAGGUCCCUUCGCUGGUUGGCAAGCCUCCUGAGGAGGGGGCGAGCUGGUUCCUUAUGUGGGGUGAGGGCAGGGGUGGGACCCGGGGCCAGGUGAGAGGUGUGGUUAGGUGGUCGGCCCACCCCUUUGGUGGUGCUGUGUGCAGGGGGUAUGUCCAGGAUCCUGCUUUUGGUCUCAGCUCCUCAGAAAUGGCAGAAAGUUUUUUUUGUUUUGUUUUGUUUUGUUUUGUUUCCAUUUUGGGCGAUUCUUGUUGCCUUAAUUUCCCCCAAGGGUGCAAGCAUGCAUUUAUUUUUAGUCCCUUAUAGUUUCUUUGUAUUUUGCUGCUAGAGGAGGUGUUUGUUCAGGUGCAAACACUGCAGUCAGUGCAGCCAAGGGUCCCAGGCCCCAGACUGUCUCAGAUUCACUCAGACAACACCACCAGCAGCAAAACCUUCACGUAGUAGAAGAGGUGAAAUGAACCUGUGUACACCGAUAUAUAAACAUACUACCUAAUUACUUAGCAGUGCUUCUUAAAGGCAGGCAGCCAAGUCCUGUCUCCCAGGAGACCCCACUGUCAUCCCCCAUUCUCGCUGCCUCUGUCAGUUCUUGAAGAACGCAGGGAACCUGGGUGGAGAGGAGAGUUCUCAGCCUUCCUUGGGCCCCAAACUGGUCGUAUGGCCAAGUUAUGCCCAGUGGGAUGCAAAUGCAGUUGGUCUGUGCCGCCUGCAGGUUUCAUCCUCAUCAGGAUGCUCCCCGUCCUCACGUUCCCUGCCCUGAUCUCACGACCAGGAACAUGGUGCCAGCAGGGCGGUGCCAGCUCUUGCCCCUUGGAAUAAUGAAGGGGUAUAACUCAGGGACGGCGGAGCAAAAGGAGAGGCCCGUAUAUUAUUGCGUACAGUUUACCUCAGUACGUGGGCACAAAAGGACAGUAAUAAUUCUGUUAUGUGAAAAAUUAUUGCAUUAAUGAUGUCCCCCACUGAAUCAAUUGUUUUUAAAGACUUAUCCUGUGACCACAUACUGGAGGCUUCACUUUAUACAUAUUCGGGUGGCGUUUUGAUUUUGUAAGACAACUGAAGCUCCUAUUAAUCAUUGUUGCUUGAUGCUGUAUGCUUUCAGAAUGUUAUCUGUAAUAAUUUAC
rnacentral:lncRNA from 1 species